CAGGCGAGGCGUGCGCCGGAAUACAUUAGCAUGGUAUAAACGAAUUGGACCGUGUGCCCGUAACUGGGCUUCUCCUUAUUGUUGGUUUGAAGGACACGGAGAUGGUUAAUAGGGACAGCGUUUAUUUCACAAGGAGGCAUUAGUAUUUAAUUUCCAGAGGUGAAAUUCUUUGAAAUAUUAAAGACUAACUUAUGCGAAAGCAUCGUUUGCCAAUGAUGUUUUCAUUAAUCAUUGAACGAAAGUUAGGGGAUCAAAGACGAUCAGAUACCGUCCUAGUCUUAACCAUAAACGUUGCCGACUAGGGAUCGGAGGGCGUGCACAAUCCGCCUUCGGCACCUUACGAGAAAUCAAAGUCUUUUUGGGUUCUGUGGGUAGUAUGGUCGCAAGGCUGAAACUUAAAGGAAUUGACGGAAGGGCACCACCAGGAGUGGAGCUUGCGGCUCAAUUUUGACUCAACACGGG
rnacentral:rRNA from 1 species